GACGAACGCUGGCGGCGUGCUUAACACAUGCAAGUCGAACGGAAAGGCCCUGCUUUUGUGGGGUUCUCGAGUGGCGAACGGGUGAGUAACACGUGAGUAACCUGCCCUUGACUUUGGUAUAACUUCAGGAAACUGGGGCUAAUACCGGAUAGGAGCUCCUGCUGCAUGGUGGGGGUUGGAAAGUUUCGGCGGUUGGGGAUGGACUCGCGGCUUAUCAGCUUGUUGGUUGGGUAGUGGCUUACCCAGGCUUUGACGGGUAGCCGGCCUGAGAGGGUGAACGGGCACAUGGGGACUGAGAGACGGCGCAGACUCCUACGGGAGGCAGCAGGGGGGAAUAUGGCACAAUGGGCGGAAGCCUGAUGCAGCAACGCCGCGUGCGGGAUGACGGCCUUCGGGUUGUAAACCGCUUUAGCCUGUGACGAAGCGUGAGUGACGGUAAUGGGUAAAGAAGCACCGGCUAACUACGUG
rnacentral:rRNA from 1 species